CCUACGGGUGGCAGCAGUGGGGAAUAUUGGACAAUGGGCGAAAGCCUGAUCCAGCCAUGCCGCGUGUGUGAAGAAGGCCUUCGGGUUGUAAAGCACUUUCAGUGGGGAAGAAAGCCUUGGGGCUAAUACCCUCGAGGAAGGACAUCACCCACAGAAGAAGCACCGGCUAACUCCGUGCCAGCAGCCGCGGUAAUACGGAGGGUGCGAGCGUUAAUCGGAAUUACUGGGCGUAAAGCGCGCGUAGGCGGUCUGAUAAGCCGGUUGUGAAAGCCCCGGGCUCAACCUGGGAACGGCAUCCGGAACUGUCAGGCUAGAGUGCAUGAGAGGAAGGUAGAAUUCCCGGUGUAGCGGUGAAAUGCGUAGAGAUCGGGAGGAAUACCAGUGGCGAAGGCGGCCUUCUGGACUGACACUGACGCUGAGGUGCGAAAGCGUGGGUAGCAAACAGGAUUAGAUACCCGGGUAGUC
rnacentral:rRNA from 1 species